GAGGGUAUAGCUCAGUGGUAGAGUGGCUGCUUAGCAGGCACAAGGUCCUGGGUUCAAUCCCCAGUACCUCCA
rfam:Camelus ferus unplaced genomic scaffold scaffold1708, whole genome shotgun sequence.